CCAGAGGGAGGACGAGCUGACCUUCAUCAAGAGCGCCAUCAUCCAGAAUGUGGAGAAGCAAGAGGGAGGCUGGUGGCGAGGGGACUACGGAGGGAAGAAGCAGCUGUGGUUCCCAUCAAACUACGUGGAAGAGAUGGUCAACCCCGUGGCCCUGGAGCCGGAGAGGGAGCACUUGGACGAGAACAGCCCCCUAGGGGACUUGCUGCGGGGGGUCUUGGAUGUGCCGGCUUGUCAGAUUGCAUGGCGUCGGUGGCCCACUGGUCCCUGGAUGUUGCUGCCGACUCACAGGAGGAGCUGCAGGACUGGGUGAAAAAGAUCCGUGAAGUGGCC
rnacentral:lncRNA from 1 species